rnacentral:rRNA from 1 species
AACGAACGCUGGCGGCAUGCCUAACACAUGCAAGUCGAACGAGACCUUCGGGUCUAGUGGCGCACGGGUGCGUAACGCGUGGGAACCUGCCCUUAGGUUCGGAAUAACUCCCCGAAAGGGGUGCUAAUACCGGAUAAUGUCUUCGGACCAAAGAUUUAUCGCCUUUGGAUGGGCCCGCGUUGGAUUAGCUAGUUGGUAGGGUAAAAGCCUACCAAGGCGACGAUCCAUAGCUGGUCUGAGAGGAUGAUCAGCCACACUGGGACUGAGACACGGCCCAGACUCCUACGGGAGGCAGCAGUGGGGAAUAUUGGACAAUGGGCGAAAGCCUGAUCCAGCAAUGCCGCGUGAGUGAUGAAGGCCUGAGGGUUGUAAAGCUCUUUUACCCGGGAGGAUAAUGACAGUACCGGGAGAAUAAGCUCCGGCUAACUCCGUG